UGGGGAAUAUUGCACAAUGGGGGAAACCCUGAUGCAGCAACGCCGCGUGAGUGAUGACGGCCUUCGGGUUGUAAAGCUCUGUCUUUGGGGACGAUAAUGACGGUACCCAAGGAGGAAGUCACGGCUAACUACGUGCCAGCAGCCGCGGUAAUACGUAGGUGACAAGCGUUAUCCGGAUUUACUGGGCGUAAAGGGAGCGUAGGCGGAUAAUUAAGUGGGAUGUGAAAUACCCGGGCUCAACCUGGGUGCUGCAUUCCAAACUGGUUAUCUAGAGUGCAGGAGAGGAGAGUGGAAUUCCUAGUGUAGCGGUGAAAUGCGUAGAGAUUAGGAAGAACACCAGUGGCGAAGGCGACUCUCUGGACUGUAACUGACGCUGAGGCUCGAAAGCGUGGGGAGCAAACA
rnacentral:rRNA from 1 species